GUGCCAGCCGCCGCGGUAAUACGGAGGGUGCAAGCGUUAUCCGGAUUCACUGGGUUUAAAGGGUGCGUAGGUGGGACAGUAAGUCAGUGGUGAAAUCCCCGAGCUUAACUUGGGAACUGCCGUUGAUACUAUUGUUCUUGAAUAUCGUGUAGGUAAGCGGAAUAUGUCAUGUAGCGGUGAAAUGCUUAGAUAUGACAUAGAACACCAAUUGCGAAGGCAGCUUACUUUACGAUGAUUGACACUGAGGCACGAAAGCGUGGGGAGCAAACAGGAUUAGAUACCCUGGUAGUCCACGCCCUAAACUAUGGAUACUCGACAUCAGCGAUACACUGUUGGUGUCUGAGCGAAAGCAUUAAGUAUCCCACCUGGGAAGUACGACCGCAAGGUUGAAACUCAAAGGAAUUGGCGG
rnacentral:rRNA from 1 species